CCUACGGGGGGCAGCAGUGGGGAAUAUUGGACAAUGGGGGCAACCCUGAUCCAGCCAUGCCGCGUGUGUGAAGAAGGCCCUCGGGUUGUAAAGCACUUUCAGUGAGGAAGAACGCCUGGUGGUUAAUACCCAUCAGGAAAGACAUCACUCACAGAAGAAGCACCGGCUAACUCCGUGCCAGCAGCCGCGGUAAUACGGAGGGUGCGAGCGUUAAUCGGAAUUACUGGGCGUAAAGCGCGCGUAGGUGGCUUGAUAAGCCGGUUGUGAAAGCCCCGGGCUCAACCUGGGAACGGCAUCCGGAACUGUCAAGCUAGAGUGCAGGAGAGGAAGGUAGAAUUCCCGGUGUAGCGGUGAAAUGCGUAGAGAUCGGGAGGAAUACCAGUGGCGAAGGCGGCCUUCUGGACUGACACUGACACUGAGGUGCGAAAGCGUGGGUAGCAAACAGGAUUAGAUACCCUGGAAGUC
rnacentral:rRNA from 1 species